UAGAAGACAGCACGCCACCAAACGCCUGUGCGUCUAUUGCUAUGCCAGUCGGGGAUGGCUGGGCCCCACCAGCCGCCCCCAUGACCAUUGUCACCAACCUUGGAAUAGGUGUGCAGGCAGCACUGAGCUCCGCCGAGCCGGUGGAAGUGGACAGCCCUGCAGCCUCUGAUGGGCCACAGGGCCACGAUGACCAACUACUGACAUUUGAGACAGGAUGCACCGAGGUGGACUGCGGGCCGGGCUCGGCCCCACACUACCUGGACGUGACCA